rnacentral:rRNA from 1 species
CCUACGGGUGGCAGCAGUGAGGAAUAUUGGUCAAUGGCCGGAAGGCUGAACCAGCCAUGCCGCGUGAAGGUCAGUGCCCUAUGGGCGUUAAACUUCUUUUGUGCGGGAGCAAUAAUGGUCACGUGUGGCCAGACGAGAGUACCGUACGAAUAAGCAUCGGCUAACUCCGUGCCAGCAGCCGCGGUAAUACGGGGGAUGCAAGCGUUAUCCGGAUUUAUUGGGUUUAAAGGGUGCGUAGGCUGUGAGGUAAGUCAGCGGUGAAAUGCCCCCGCUCAACGGGGUGAAGUGCCAUUGAUACUGCCUGGCUGGAACGCGGAUGCCGUGGGAGGAAUGUGUGGUGUAGCGGUGAAAUGCAUAGAUAUCACACAGAACACCGAUUGCGAAGGCAUCUCACGAAGCCGCGAUUGACGCUGAUGCACGAAAGCGUGGGUAUCAAACAGGAUUAGAUACCCUGGUAGUC